GGAAGGCAGCAGGCGCGCAAAUUACCCAAUUCCGAUACGGAGAGGUAGUGACAAUAAAUACUGAUACAGGGCUCUUUUGGGUCUUGUAAUUGGAAUGAGUACAAUUUAAACCUCUUAACGAGGAACAAUUGGAGGGCAAGUCUGGUGCCAGCAGCCGCGGUAAUUCCAGCUCCAAUAGCGUAUAUUAAAGUUGUUGCAGUUAAAAAGCUCGUAGUUGAACCUUGGGCCUGGCUGGCCGGUCCGCCUCACCGCGUGCACUGGUCCGGCCGGGCCUUUUCUUCUGGAGAACCGCAUGCCCUUCACUGGGUGUGUUGGGGACCAGGACUUUUACUUUGAAAAAAUUAGAGUGUUCAAAGCAGGCCUUUGCUCGAAUACGUUAGCAUGGAAUAAUAGAAUAGGACGUGCGGUCCUAUUUUGUUGGUUUCUAGGACCGCCGUAAUGAUUAAUAGGGACAGUCGGGGGCAUCAGUAUUCAAUUGUCAGAGGUGAAAUUCUUGGAUUUAUUGAAGACUAACUACUGCGAAAGCAUUUGCCAAGGAUGUUUUCAUUAAUCAGGGAACGAAAGUUAGGGGAUCGAAGACGAUCAGAUACCGUCGUAGUCUUAACCAUAAACUAUGCCGACUAGGGAUCGGGCGGUGUUUCUAUUGUGACCCGCUCGGCACCUUACGGGAAAC
rnacentral:rRNA from 2 species